GACGAACGCUGGCGGCGUGCUUAACACAUGCAAGUCGAACGGAAAGGCCCUGCUUUUGUGGGGUGCUCGAGUGGCGAACGGGUGAGUAACACGUGAGUAACCUGCCCUUGACUUUGGGAUAACUUCAGGAAACUGGGGCUAAUACCGGAUAGGAGCUCCUGCUGCAUGGUGGGGGUUGGAAAGUUUCGGCGGUUGGGGAUGGACUCGCGGCUUAUCAGCUUGUUGGUGGGGUAGUGGCUUACCAAGGCUUUGACGGGUAGCCGGCCUGAGAGGGUGACCGGCCACAUGGGGACUGAGAUACGGCCCAGACUCCUCCGGGAGGCAGCAGUGGGGAAUAUUGCACAAUGGGCGGAAGCCUGAUGCAGCAACGCCGCGUGCGGGAUGACGGCCUUCGGGUUGUAAACCGCUUUCGCCUGUGACGAAGCGUGAGUGACGGUAAUGGGUAAAGAAGCACCGGCUAACUACGUG
rnacentral:rRNA from 1 species